UUGUUUGAUUGGUUGAAGACCUGUGGUCGUGAUUGAGAGCUAGGAUGGUUAUAAAGAAAUGAACGUAGGAUCUUAAGAGAACGGUUAACCGGUCUGUUAGAUGAAUGAUAGAAAAUCUAUGAAUGAUUGUUGAAUGGAUUGAGUGUGACACCGAGAACGGGUGGCGUCUAAAAAGGAAAGUAAGAAAGAGUCUAAGGGUUUAAGGAAAAAGGAAAUGAUAAGGAAAAAGGAAAGGUUAAAUGAUUGAAAUACGAACCACCGAGGAACGGGUGGGGAGUAUGGGAAAUGAAUAGAAAUGGAAUACGAACCACCGAG
rnacentral:lncRNA from 1 species